rnacentral:rRNA from 1 species
AGGACGAACGCUGGCGGCGUGCUUAACACAUGCAAGUGGAGCGACGAACCGGGGCUUGCCCCGGGGCAGAGCCGCGAACGGGUGAGUAACACGUGGGUUACCUGCCUUGAUGACCGGGACAACCCGAGGAAACUCGGGCUAAUACCGGAUGUGCCCGCAAGGGGAAAGGAAGCUUCGGCCUCCGCAUCAAGAUGGGCCCGCGGCCCAUUAGCUUGUUGGUGAGGUAACGGCUCACCAAGGCUUCGAUGGGUAGCUGGUCUGAGAGGACGAUCAGCCACACUGGGACUGAGACACGGCCCAGACUCCUACGGGAGGCAGCAGUGGGGAAUCUUGCGCAAUGCGCGAAAGCGUGACGCAGCAACGCCGCGUGGGGGAAGAAGGCUUUCGGUGUAAACCCCUUUCAGGAAGGACGAAGCCACUCGGGUUAAUAGCCCAGAGGGUGACGGUACUUCCAGAAGAAGCCCCGGCUAACUACGCGCCAGCAGCCGCGGUAA